CCCAAAAUAAACCCAAAAAUCGACAGCUGUAUAUUUUUUAAUUUAAUUAUUAAGAUGAAAUACCUUUAUUACCUUUUUAACAUAAAAUUGGAAUUCUAAUCAACACCAGAUUAGAACUCAUUACACGACCUCCAGUCUCUCAUCUUUAUCUUCAACCCCAAUUUUCAGUUUUUGUUCUUCCACUUCAAUCUCAUCAUUGUUCUUCCACCUCAGUUUUUGUUCAAUCUCUUCAUUCUAAGCUUCGUUGGAGGGCUUGCCUGGGCCACCAACAAUGAUGCACUGGAGAAGGCCUUUCUCCAUUCGAUCAUCAACGACCGUGAGACUGGGAGGUCCAGGGGCUUCGGCUUCGUCACCUUCAGCAAUGAGAACGCCAUGAGAGAUGCCCGAAGGCAUGAACGACCAGAACUUCGACGGUCGUAACAUACCGUAAAUGAGGCCCAGUCUUGUGGAAGCUAAAAUGAAAUGUUGUAAUAUGUAUGUGUCUACAUGUAUUGUAUUUUCAGCUGUGGAUAAGGAAUUUUUGGGAUUUUAGAUUUGCUGGCCAAGUUUCCUCUAAAUUCUAUAAAGAUGAAGCAGCCAUUCUGUAUGCAACCUUGGGAUUCUUCUCCAAAGAUUGUCAAGAAACUGUUCAAGGAAAUGAGCCUUAUGGUGAAGUACGGUUUACAUCCUAGUACUUUGAAGGGUGAAUUGUUUAGAGUACUGCUAGAGCAAGGAAUUCAUGGGUUGAAAGUUUCUGAGUUGGCGAAGUCUCAUUGCAGGUCAUUUGGGUACAUAUAUGUCACAGCAGUUUUCUAAAGGCUCAUAUGUUUGGAGAUAAGGUCAUUGUUACCACAAGCACAAUGAUAAUGAGCAGUAUGUGUGGGAGCCGCUCCGAUUCAAUGUUUAUGGUAUGUGGAGUGAUGAAAGAUCAAUUAAUUAUGCAAAUGAAAUGAUGUAAUUGAUUUUGAGUGGUAUGGAGUUGUACACUUUUAUUGUAUCGAUUAUGUAAAUAAAAUGAUGUAGUUGUUAACUUCCAGUAAGUGGUAUGAACAGUAUAACAACUGUUCAUACCUUGCAACUAAGUUGAUUUCUAUGACAUAGUAU